UAGAUCAAUAAUCGUUUCCGUGCUACUUCUCUGCAACUACUUGCUGGAUUUCAACGAAACUUUAUGGGAACCUUCAAUAUCAAGAACAGAUGAGCAUAUCAUGGCCUUGUUCCGGUCAGACCCUUUAACUUAGAGUUAUGGCCCUUGAUAAGUUUGCAGUAUGCAUAUAUAGCAAUAAUCCUUGUCGCGCUAUUUCUCUGCAACUACUGGCUGGAAUCAACAAAACUUUUUGAGAACCAUCAAUACCAAGAGGAGAUGCGCAUAAUGUUGCCUUGUUUUAAUCAGACCCUUCAACACAGAGUUAUGGCCCUUGAUUAGUUAUGCAGUAUGCAUAUAGAGCAAUAAUCAUUUCCUUCCUAUUUCUCUGCAAUUACUGGCUGGAAUUAAAUGAAUCUUUAUUGGAACAAUCAAUAUCAAGGGGAGAUGCGCAUAUCAUUGCUUUGUUCCGGUCAGAGCCUUCAAGACAUAGUUAUUGCCCUUGAUUUGUUUUGCAAUAUUCAUAUAAAGCAAUAUUGCUAUUUCUUUUCAACUACUGAUUUGAUUUCAACCAGACUUUAUGGGAAUCAUCAAUACAAAAAGGAAAUUUGCAUGUCAUGAUAAACUUAUAUAAAUAAAGCCUUACCUGGUAUGUAUUCAGUUGUUGUGUUAGUAAUAACCAGUACUAGUCGGGGGAUAUGAAUUUAACGAAUUUGCUUGUAAUUUUACUGCAAUAAGACCAGACCAAAAAUGUUGCUUUGUUAAAGUUCUUUUAAAGUUUCUAAACUCUAUGUAUUCUUCAGCAAUCAUUGACACUGAGUGAAAAUGCCUUAAUGGAGAAGACAAAAGCGAUGUUACAAUGGUUAGAGCAGCAGAGACAGCGAAUCCGAAACAAAGGUGCAGAUGAUUCAUACCCUCAGAUCAAGAAACGACAGAGAGGCCUCAUGAUGAAGUUACAAGAACAACAAGAAGUGAUUCACAGAAUGAGAGAAGAGAAUAAAGCAGCAGCAAAAUAGCUACCGAGUAAGUCAAAGUCUGUAGCUGCACCAAGAGGUACAUUGUAGGGGUUGGAUGCCCAAAAGAAGUUCACACUGAGGCAGAAGUUAGCUCGGUAAGACUUGUGUCAUCUGGCAACCAGGAAGUUUCUUCAGAGUUUACAGUCAGAUCAAGCCAGGCACCAUUUUUACCCCCAUUUUGUUACCUUGGAUGUGUCUUAAUAGAUAUUACGUAGCCGAAGAUGUCCAUAUUUACUCACAGGACACAUGGAAAUAGGAGAUUGGAGAGCAGGGAAAACAACUGGUACAUCAGACAAGUGGUAAGUCACGCUCAAUCUUCUCUUUCUUGCUGUUUAACCAGACACUAUGACUGAAUUUUAUGCGCCCAUUUAAAAAAUGGGACAUACUUAUAAUAUAGGAAUGCCUGGCGGGCAGGGAGAUGGAGUGCGGGUGUCAUCCAAUUUUGUCUGGAGCAUAUCUCUUUCACAAAGAGAGAGACUUUAAUGAAACUUCAUUGAAAUGUUAACCACUAUGAGCACCUAUUUUGCACACAUGAACCAGGUCUCUACGUCAAAAGUCAUGGUCACACUUAGAGGUCAUUGAAAAAUGCUUGUCUGGAGCAAAACUUAUACAUGCAUUAGGGAUUCAAUAUAACUUGGCAUAAAUGUUAACCAUUAUAUGGCUUAGUGUUGUGCCCAAAAUUGGUCCCUGC